AGACCCGAAACCCGGUGAUCUAGCCAUGGGCAGGUUGAAGGUUGGGUAACACUAACUGGAGGACCGAACCGACUAAUGUUGAAAAAUUAGCGGAUGACCUGUGGCUGGGGGUGAAAGGCCAAUCAAACCGGGAGAUAGCUGGUUCUCCCCGAAAGCUAUUUAGGUAGCGCCUCGUGAACUCAUCUCCGGGGGUAGAGCACUGUUUCGGCUAGGGGGCCAUCCCGGCUUACCAACCCGAUGCAAACUGCGAAUACCGGAGAAUGUUAUCACGGGAGACACACGGCGGGUGCUAACGUCCGUCGUGAAGAGGGAAACAACCCAGACCGCCAGCUAAGGUCCCAAAGUCAUGGUUAAGUGGGAAACGAUGUGGGAAGGCCCAGACAGCCAGGAUGUUGGCUUAGAAGCAGCCAUCAUUUAAAGAAAGCGUAAUAGCUCACUGGUCGAGUCGGCCUGCGCGGAAGAUGUAACGGGGCUAAACCAUGCACCGAAGCUGCGGCAGCGAACGUAUCACCCAAGACAACUUUGCGGAGUUGACGAUUGACGGAGCGAAGCGACGUCAAAGCGUUCAUUAAAGUCGAGUUGGCUUAGGGAUACGUUCGUUGGGUAGGGGAGCGUUCUGUAAGCCAGUGAAGGUGUGUCGUGAGGCAUGCUGGAGGUAUCAGAAGUGCGAAUGCUGACAUAAGUAACGAUAAAGCGGGUGAAAAGCCCGCUCGCCGGAAGACCAAGGGUUCCUGUCCAACGUUAAUCGGGGCAGGGUGAGUCGACCCCUAAGGCGAGGCCGAAAGGCGUAGUCGAUGGGAAACGGGUUAAUAUUCCCGUACUUGGUGUUACUGCGAAGGGGGGACGGAGAAGGCUAUGUUGGCCGGGCGACGGUUGUCCCGGUUUAAGCGUGUAGGUGUGUGUUCCAGGUAAAUCCGGUU
rnacentral:rRNA from 1 species